UAAUGAAUUAUCUGUUUCAUUUUUCAUUUUAUUGUAGCUAAAUUUUUAGGUUGUGUUAAAGGGAGAAUUUUAAAAAGCUCAUCACAAGAGAACCAGAUAAUCGGAAACGGAUUUGCAUGCGGCGACUGCGGAAGAAGAUACAAGUUGAAGAGUUCCUUGAGGAAUCAUAGGAAGUGGGAAUGCGGCAAAGAGGCUCAAUUUGUCUGUAAUUUUUGCAGUUACAAGGGCAAGCAAAAAAUGCAUAUCUAUCGCCAUAUUAACAGAAUGCACAAAAUUGAAAUGUCCGCUUUAAUAUCAAAACAAGAUAACAUUGGAUUGGACUAUCAACAAAAAUUGGAAUCGAAAAUUUGAAAAGUUAUGACUGUUACUGCUGUUUCCAUUAUAAGAAUUUUUAACGUGCGAGGGAUUUCUCGUGCCGUAGUUUUGUCGCACUUGCUCUUUUCACACAAUAAGAAUUGAGUCGCACGAAGAUAUUUUGCUGUGCUGUUUGGUAUAUUAUUUUUAUUUACACUUUGUGGCUGAGGUACGUACAUGAUACGAUAUCGGAUAUGUAUCAUUACGAUGUAUCAUUACAAAUGGGUUUUUUUUUGUCCAUACUCUUGUCCUAAUGUACUGUAAUCCGUAUUUAAUUCAUUUGCAAUUUCUAUUUUGUCAGUUAUUAUUUCUUAUGUUUUUUAAUUAAAAGCCUUAAUUUGUUUUUAUAAUCGUUGUUCUACUCAGUUAUUUGUGGGAUCUUGGAUUAGGUCAUCUAAUUAGCUCAUACAAUCCAUGUAAUAAACUAUUCCAAAUGGGAAAUAAGCCACAAUUGAACUAAAACAAUGAUUUUAUUAACAUUUCGACAUCCGAUUUGGGCGUCGAAACAUUAAUAAAAUUAUUUUUUUAGUUAAAUUGUGGCUUAUUUCUUAUUUAGACUAGUUUAUUAUAAUAAUUCCACAAGGAAACAUCUUCAGAACAACAUUACAAUCUAUGUUUUUCAUGUGCAGAAUUUAAAAGACCCUCUGUCAUCCAUUCAUUUUUAAAUGUUGUUCCCCUCGUUUCAAAUGUUGUUUUUAGAUAAUAUCACACAAGACGUGACCGACGCCCUACUCCAGUUUUCACCUAGUUGUUUACCCUAUAAAACUAAAUAUAAUUUCGUAGAAUAAAAGGUAUAUUUUAUAUGGAGCGAAAUCAAAUUAUAGCGGUUUGUUUACUUUAUCGUCGAAGAAAGAGAAAUAAGAGGAACCGAAUUCAUUGGGUCCAUCCUAUUAACACAAAAAGAUACGAUUUACAUAUUUUUAUAUUAACACAUAUUGAUGGAACACCCUCUAUACUCAACGUUAAUUGCAACUAUGUAAAAUAAAGUUUAUUAUAAUAUACUUAGCAGUUUUAAUUACCGUUGUUAUCAGUAACAUAUAAUUAAUUUUGCUGUACUUAUAAAAUGUGUUUUUACUUUAUCAUCUAAUUCGUCAAAUUGAUUAAUUCAAAUUAAUUCGUGCACUGUUAAGUGCACGGCAUACACCAUUCCAAGCAUUUCUCGUCAAGUUUCUAUCUUUAUAUAUUUAUUUAUAUAUUUUAUCAUUUUAGUGAACAGGUCUCGCUUCAAUUAAUGUUAUUAAUAUUUCACUAUCAAUCUGAGAUAUCAUAAUAUAAAAUAUAUGCACCUACUUUAAACAGCCACAAAGUGUAAAUGAAAAUAAUGUACCAAACAACCAAAGAAACUACCUUCGUGCGACUGAACGACAGUAUCAUAUUAAAGGAUGCAUUAAAUCACCUAUGCUACUGGGUGCGUAAAGACGACACGGCUGCCGUCUGUUGUUGUAAGCGAGGGACGACAUAAACACGGCGACUUCACCGAACGUUCUAGUGAGAAAGGCUCCAAUAUGAUUACAUGCACCACCAUUGGAAUGUCGUCGUGCGUUCUAACCCUCGCAUGUUUAAAUUCUUAUAAUGUGAAACAGCACUUAUGGUUUAUUUUUACAAUGUUACAAAAAGUAGAUAAAAGAAAAGUAUCUGUUAAUUUUUUUAUUAGUACUUGAAAGACUUUUAGUUAGGUUUUGCUUUCUUUAACCCGGGAUUGGUUGCUAGGUAUGCUUUUACGUCAGUGAUUGAGCGUAAGAUUUUGUCUCACAUAACCAUACGUUUGCCUUUUUUACGAAAUAAAAUUUUCAAAAUAGGUUUUAAACUUCAUAAAGUUAUUAUUAGCUUUACACAAUGUGCCUGUUGAUGCGUUUGCAGGGACGCGCCAAGUAACUUCGGCGCCGUCGUGCAAAAUAUUGAUAAGCGCCUGUAUCAAAAUUACCAGGGUAGUAGAAAUAUUAUAAUCAAUCACUCCUUCACAUUUCAACGUGGACACUGAAAUUUUUUCUAUGGUAGGGGAGCAAAGUAUGCUAAAUGUGCAGUCACUCGAGCGCUUUUGGGGAACUAUUGGGUUGUGAAGAGUAGGUCCUAAAACCAAAAAAAGUUAAGUAAAGUUUUCCAUUUUAGUGGGGACUUUCCAUUUUUAAUUUAAUUUUCCAUUUCCAACAAUCGUUUUUAGAUUAUAGCGCCAUCUAUCCAUAAUUCGAAAAAAUGUCUCGAAUAAAAGUUGCUUAUUUUUACGUAAGGAAUCCAAAUCUGCAAUAAAAAGUGGGGGCUCCCAUUUAAAAUUUUAAAGUAACCCCCCACCCCACCUCCGUGGGGGUCGUGUUUGGUGCCAUUCGAUAGAUUUUUCAAAAAUAUUGUACUAUUAGUUUUAGUUUAGAAAAUUAUCUCUCGGCUGAAGGUAAAGAAAUCGGUAUAGUUAAUAAUACACGUAACGCAAUAGUAAUGUUUAAGAAUGCGUGGACUAAGUUAUUUUUUGCAAUGUUUUUUUUUUUGCUUCAAAAAAUAUUUAGUUUUGAAUUGGAUAUUUAUUUAACAUUGCAGAGUCAAAGGGCGCCUUUAACGCCUUGGCGCCGUCGUGCGCCGCACGACCUUGCCCAUAUGGACGGCGCGUCCCUGUGCGUUUGUACACUUUAAUCUAAAAAUUUAGAAAUAAUAUUAAUUUUAAUAUUUGAAUAUAUUAUGCAAAUAUCAAAUUUGUACUAGUGCCUUAAUUUUAUUGUCCUGCAACAGGGCAAGUUCUAAAAGGGCGAUAAGAGAAUAUCUCACGUGAAGCGCACUGACUUAAGAAUCGGGCCAUACUAAGUCAACUGAACCACCAUCUGAGAAGACGAGUCUAUUCCAUUUUAGAGGAAGGAUAAUAAGGAGACUUAAAGGAACUACAGCAUGUGUAAUUUACCAGGGAAAAAGUUAUAUGCCAUAUUCUGAAACCGCGAGAGAAAAUCUCAUAUAGCGAUCAAUUCCGGGUUAAAUUUUUUACCUCUAGUUUAAGUUUAAUUUUAUGGAUAUACAGUAUGGAUGUAGUUGUAGGAUAUACAGUAUGGAUGUAGUUGUAGGAUACUGUAAUAUGUUGUCUUAUAAAUGUUUGAUUUGGCUCAAAUCUUCCAGUGCCUUAAAGACAAUAACGAUUGUAUAACUUGUUAAAUUAUGUGCCUUCAAUAUUGUAUAUACAGUGUGUCAAUUUGAAAAGGUACCACCCCCUAUCUAAAAAUAUGGCAAAACACGUCGAAUUUAUUUGUGAGGGGGACCAAUUUUCAACUAAAUUAAAUCAACUUUCUAGCGGGGCAGACAAAAUCCCCAAAAUAUUUAAGACGGGUUGAAUAAUACCUCAUUUUAAAGGUCAUUUAACCACCUUUUCAAAAAUACCACGUACUUUAUAUUUCUUUUCAGUACUUUUGGAAAAUCAAGUGAAACCGUAAAAAUAUUAAGUAUCGAAUUCAGAACUCCAAAAAUUGUUUAGAAUAGCUCCAAACUGAUUUUUUUUUGAGUGUUGGAGUGUUCUGAGUAUUUUUGGAAGUAUUUUUGGAAAAAUCAAAAAUCAAAGAUAUUAAGUAGGUAUCGAUUUUAGAACUUCAAAAUUUUUUUGGAGUAUUGAGUCCAAGAUUUUUCAAAAGUAUUGAAAAGAGAUAUACUUAUAAUGUAUGUAAUAUUUUGGAAAAGCUAGUUGAACGACCUUUAAAAUGAGGUAUCACUUAACCCUCCUUUCCAUUAAAGAUUUUGUGGGUUGUGUCCGCCCCUGCUAGAUGGUUGAUGAAAUUUAGUUGAAAACUGGUCUACAAAAUGUCCCUCUUCGCAAAUAAAUUUGACGUGUUUUUGCAUAUUUUAGAUUUUCUAUAGGGACCAAAUUGUAGAGGGUGUCAAAUUGGCAUACUGUAUAUAUAAAUUUAUGUUAAGUUUAAGUUUUUUAUUUCGACUCUUUAAUUUUAGUGAAAGAACUGUCGCCAUUUUGCGAACGCUUCUCAUGUAAGACUUGUUAAUCAAUUUAAAACAUGAUUUCAAUAAUAUAUAUUAUUUUAGGUUUUUUAGUUGAUUAGUAUUUGAUAUUAUUUUCUUUACUUUUUGUAGUUUUUAAUUUUUAUAAUGCAAUAAUAAACUUGUAAGUUUAUAAA